AUUGCUUUAAUAAUCAUUCCAAUGAGACAGGAGGAGAAAGGGAAAUAAAAAUGAUACCCCACACACAACAGGAUAUAAUUAGGAGGAAGAAAGUUCCAACUUAAGACUUGAUUGGCUAGUGCAAGAUAACGCUGAAAGACUGAAGACAUUUGAGCAUUAAGAUUUUCACGUCGACUGAAUUCUUGCAGAACCUCUACUGUGAGCAUGAAAAUCUGAUGGAGAUCAUCCUCCUAGGCAGGCCAAGUAUCUUGGUUUGGCCCCAAGUCUUCCUUCAACCUAGAGCCCCUUCAGAUAUAGGACUACAAUUUCAUCAUUCUCAGCCAGCAUCAUCGGGAUAAAGUUAACACUAACAGCAACAACAUAGCUUCAUCAAAUCUCCUUUGGGGAGAAUUCAAAACUGCCUAAACAUAAUCAGAGGAGAUUGAAGGGAGGAAUAGAAAAUAAACUAACUAUGAUUACUACACACUCAGCAGUAAAUGUGCUAGCAAGAAGAUUUGAAGGCAAAUGUUAAAUGUCAGCAAUCAAGACUUUCAAAAUCUGCUCCACAGCUUUCAUUAAACCCUAUUAUUUUCUGGAGAAAAUGUACAGAAGGGAAGUAUAAAGGCAGCAAUAAAAACAACUGAAUUUGUCCAUACAACCAAAGCUUUCCUCUCAAUAGAUGUGGAGAAACAGUCCAAUGGACAAAUGAUUUUCAAGCCUGCAAGGUACAUAUAUGCUCUUCUCCACCUCAAGGAGCUGCUACAGCUUAGAUAACAAAACAAAUCCUUGAAAGCGUGCCAAGCUGUGUUUUCAACAACCCUUUUCUGGACAUUUUGCUGCUGAAAUGAAUCCUGCCAUAAAUGAUAGAAGCUUUUCUGCCUGGAAUUGCAGUUUGUAUUUGGAAGCCAUGCAUGAUUUGUCAAGGAAGUGGCUUCUCUUUCACACAUCCCAUGCUUCUGUCUAUACUACAGUACUUCAGUAUGGUCUAUAUUUAUAAAAGAUCGGGAGCAGCACUGUUAGUGUGUCACCAGUUCAGCAGCCGAUGCAUGACUGAAAACACUCUAUCAAUACCAUUAGGCAGUUUUCAUGAAUUGCUUUCACUAUGCUUGUGAGGGAGUGAUUGUUUGUAAAUGCACAGUUCACUUUAUAUUUGUUUCCACCCAACAGGAUCAACAAGUAUCUUCUACAAAUGCAGGAGAUACUCAGUCACUGAAUCUUUCAUCAUUCCUUGAGGGUUUUUAAAGUGGAUAUUAUAUGCAAAACACUGCAAACCAGUCUUCUUCCUAUCACUAGCAUUCCCAAUUCAUACUUUGUAGCCUAUACUGCUCAAAGCGUGCAAAAAGCUCUGCCUUGGGGCUGGGAGUGAAACUUUAGCACGCACAUUGCUCCAAUUUACAUAUCUGGCUAAAAAGAUAUCAUCAAAAAGUCUGGGAAGCAACCACCACCUGAAUGUUCUGAGAGCUAUUGUCAACCAGAAUAAAUGAUACAAAAUGU